rnacentral:lncRNA from 1 species
GCCAUAGUCUAAGCUUAGUAAGCAGACUCCCUCCCAGUGGUAUUUGUGGAAUAGUACCCAAGUCUUCUAAUUUUGAAUUUGAUUGCCUCAGCUGUCCCAGAGCAUGCUGUCUGCUUUUUGCAGAUCCUUUGAUAUGAAACUCCGUAGAGUUCACUACUUCAGAGAGACGUUGGUGAAGCAGAAGUGCCUGUUUAUGUGGCAAUAGGAAGGAUUCAUAUAGAGCCUACUGGAGCCCUGAAUGCCACCCUUUCUCUUUCGUCCCAGCUCCUCUUUAUGCUAGGGAAAGAGGAUGAGUCCCUGAUGAAUACUCAGAGCGUCAGCAGGAAGUCUAAACUGUUUUGGUUGGGUAAAAAUGCCUUCUGGUAUCUAGGGGAUCUGGAAGAACUUGGAGAGAGGUGUCUAGGGGAACUGUUUGGUUAUGUCCUGAACUGAUGAUUGAGCCCCUGGUGAAGGAGUUAUGGCUGGCCCUGGAUGCACAAGUGUGAGCGAUUUGUGAUUCUCAUGUGAUCAUGUUGGUCACAUGCCUCUCCUGGGCUCAUUUAAUGGCUAGUCUCUGAAGAUCCCUUUCUUAAGUAUUUUACAGCUAGAGAUCCUUUUUACCUGCUGGGUG